rnacentral:rRNA from 1 species
GUAGUUCGUAGUCCGUGGCUACGACGGACACGCUGGCGGACGUGCUUAACACAUGCAAGUCGAACGAUGAACUGGAGCUUGCUCCAGGGAUUAGUGGCGAACGGGUGAGUAACACGUGAGUAACCUGCCCUUGACUCUGGGAUAAGCGCGUAGAAAUGGCGUCUAAUACCGGAUACGAGCUUCAGCCGCAUGGCUAGGAGUUGGAAAGAAGUUUUGGUCAAGGAUGGACUCGCGGCCUAUCAGCUAGUUGGUGAGGUAAUGGCUCACCAAGGCGACGACGGGGUAGCCGGCCUGAGAGGGUGACCGGCCACACUGGGACUGAGACACGGCCCAGACUCCUACGGGAGGCAGCAGUGGGGAAUAUGCACAAUGGGCGAAAGCCUGAUGCAGCAACGCCGCGUGACGGGAUGACGGCCUUCGGGUUUGUAAACCUCUUUUAGUAGGGAAGAAGCGAAAGUGACGGUACCUGCAGAAAAAGCACCGGCUAACUACGUG